rnacentral:rRNA from 1 species
AUGAACGCUGGCGGCGUGCCUAAUACCUGCAAGUCGAGCGAACGGACGAGAAGCUUGCUUCUCUGAUGUUAGCGGCGGACGGGUGAGUAACACGUGGAUAACCUACCUAUAAGACUGGGAUAACUUCGGGAAACCGGAGCUAAUACCGGAUGAUAUUUUGAACCGCAUGGUUCCAAAGUGAAAGACGGUCUUGCUGUCACUUAUAGAUGGAUCCGCGCUGCAUUAGCUAGUUGGUAAGGUAACGGCUUACCAAGGCAACGAUGCAUAGCCGACCUGAGAGGGUGAUCGGCCACACUGGAACUGAGACACGGUCCAGACUCCUACGGGAGGCAGCAGUAGGGAAUCUUCCGCAAUGGGCGAAAGCCUGACGGAGCAACGCCGCGUGAGUGAUGAAGGUCUUCGGAUCGUAAAACUCUGUUAUUAGGGAAGAACAUAUGUGUAAGUAACUGUGCACAUCUUGACGGUACCUAAUCAGAAAGCCACGGCUAACUACGUG